CCUACGGGGGGCUGCAGUGGGGAAUAUUGCGCAAUGGGCGAAAGCCUGACGCAGCCACGCCACGUGGGUGAUGAAGGCCUUCGGGUCGUAAAGCCCUGUCGGGAGGGACGAAUUCAUGACGGUACCUCCCAAGAAAGCACCGGCUAACCCUGUGCCAGCAGCCGCGGUAAUACAGGGGGUGCAAGCGUUGCUCGGAAUUACUGGGCGUAAAGCGUACGCAGGCUGUUGUGUAAGUCGGGUGUGAAAGCCCGGGGCUCAACCCCGGAAAUGCGCCC
rnacentral:rRNA from 1 species